rnacentral:lncRNA from 1 species
GGACCUUGUACUCUAGGUCGUCUCUUCUUUGAACUUUCAGAGUACUGGGGGUAAAUUCACUAUCAGCCUCAUCAAUGUAGUGUUCAUCUUAAUAAACUAGUUGAGGGCUAUGUUGGGAUGAAGCAUUCGGAGAAGGAGCUUCUUUCGAUAGUUGCUCCUCCUUUUGAAGCUGUUGAACAGCUACUAUUAGGGCUUGAACUUGCCGAACAAAGAAACUGAAUUGUUGAGGAUCAACAACAAUUGGUUGCUAUGGUGGUGCCUCAGGUAUUUCUUUUAGAGCAGAGGGAGAGGGAUGCUGCACUCGUGCUUUAACCAUCUUUUUCACAAAAGAAAUCAGAGAGAUCCUUUUUCUAGCAUCAAUCUAUUGCUAGAGGACUCAAAAUCUGGAGUAGAGUGGUCGACUUGGAUGAGAUUGGGUUGGAGCGAUCCUUACGAUCUGACGAAAAUUUUUUCAAUCUAUAAAAUUAGUCAAGAAAUCGAAUGAAGAUCUUUCGGUUCUGGACCCUCCAAUCCUUAAGUCAGUUUGAGCUUUGAGAAUAGGGAUGAAA